rnacentral:lncRNA from 1 species
CCUUACUGACCUGCAUUAUCUUGUGGAUACCUGAGUGAAUUCCACACCACCCAUUUUAUAGAUGAAACCACUGAGACAUGGAGCAAUUGACUGAGUAGUCACUGCCCCACCCCUGCCUGGAGCCUCACACAUGACUCGCCUCCUCUCAGUGACCACAGGUUGGUUGAGGGGUUUAACAAGGCUAAGAAGGUGAGACGUGGUCUUGUAACACAGUGGUUAAGAAUGUGACUUUGGAGCCAGCCUGCUAGGGGCUGAAUUCUGACUCAGCCAUUUACUAACUGUGUGACCUUAGGGAGGAGGACCUGGUUGAUAGAAGAAUUUAUCUCGUAGUCUUAACAUCCACUGUAAUUCCAAACUUUGAGGACGAUAGAGAUCAGUGGGCUUUGACUGCCCAGCAUGCAGUCUCCAUUCUUAGGUGGAGUCUCACUCUGUAGCCCAAGCUGGAGUGGCGUGAUCUCGACUCACUGCAACCUCCGCCUCCUGGGAUCAAGUGAUUCUCGUGCCUCAGCCUCCUGAGUAGCCGGGACUACAGGUCACAGAAUUUUCCACACUCCUUGACAGAGGUGCUUAACCCUUAUCCAUCAGCAUUCUCAGACAGCACCUCCGGUUAGGGACAGUAUCUGACCGUCCGACAUCCCUGCAGCCCCCAUGUGUCACACAGACUCAGCCUCAGGUAGAUGGUUUCCGUAGAUGGUGGCUUUCUUUGGACCCUUGACAUCAACCAGUUACUAUUUGGGGACCAGAUGUGCAGAGGUAAUGAAUACCAGGGAAUCAGGAAACCACUGGAUCAGUUCUUUGAGCCACAGAACAACACUCAUCCCAGCAGCUGGGAAGCUAUCUGCAAAAGUCCAUCUGCAGAAAGGGCUUCCUGGUCUUGCGUGUGGCUGGGCCAUUUCUCUGGAUGCAGGUUUUUCAUUAUACAGUCUUCUCAAAGAACCACCUGCUCUCAACACC